UCUGAAGUGAAAUCUCAUUUUGUAUAACAGGAAAUCAAUGAACUAACUUUGAAUGAAUUGAAGGAAAAAAAUCAAUAUCCUCUGGAAAGCAAAAUUGAAACCAAGAAAUAUCUCAAGAAUCAAAACCUCAACAAAGCGUGGAUGGAGCAACAAAAAUUCAGAUUGCAAAAGCUAAUAAAAGAAUAAAAUCAUAUAGAACUACAAUGAACACAAUACCUUUGAUUAAUCAAUUUCUUUGAAAAUGUGACAAGAGAAAGAGAGGAGAGCUAUCUGAGAUCUAAAGAGAUGAAUUUGAGAGAAUAAAGAACACAAUCAAAGAGAGGGUUCAUAGAGAGAUGCUCAAGCAAGUGGGAGAGAGUCGGGCAAGUGAGUUCGUACACACGAGAGUCACCGACAGUCUAAUGAAAUUUGAGUUAGACAUGCUCAGAUAGGAUCAGUGAAAUAUUCACCAUAAAUCAUUACAAGAACAAUUUUCAUUUUUGAAGUGAUAAAACCUCAAGGGGUCGCUAACAACAAUAAUCACUCUAACAACCUUAGACAUAUACUUAAUGGCAUUGUGACAAUCACCACAUAUUCUCAAAUUCUUAUAAACCAUAUCAUCG
rnacentral:lncRNA from 1 species